UACCUCAAAAUUCCGCAACAGUCUGUUUCAUCAGUAAAGAAUCAUGAUGAUUCUUUACUGAUGAUUCUUUACUGAUGAAACAGACUGUUGCGGAAUUU